rnacentral:rRNA from 1 species
AUUGAACGCUGGCGGCAGGCCUAACACAUGCAAGUCGAACGAGUGGCGGACGGGUGAGUAAUGUCUGGGAAACUGCCUGAUGGAGGGGGAUAAAUACUGGAAACGGUAGCUAAUACCGCAUACCAUCGGAUGUGCCCAGAUGGGAUUAGCUAGUAGGUGGGGUAACGGCUCACCUAGGCGACGAUCCCUAGCUGGUCUGAGAGGGUGACCAGCCCCCCUGGAACUGAGACACGGUCCAGACUCCUACGGGAGGCAGCAGUGGGGAAUCUUGCGCAAUGGGCGCAAGCCUGAUGCAGCCAUGCCGCGUGUGUGAAGAAGGCCUUCGGAUUGUAAAAUUCUUUCAGCAGGGAGGCGUUACCCUCAGAGGAAGCACCGGCUAACUCCGUGCCAGCAGCCGCGGUAAUUC